rnacentral:tRNA from 1 species
AGCCCGGUGGUGUAGUGGUCUAGCAUAGCAUGGACGACCUGCUGACGGGAGUUCGAAUCUCCCCCGGGCUACCA